GACGAACGCUGGCGGCGUGCUUAACACAUGCAAGUCGAACGGAAAGGCCCUGCUUUUGUGGGGUGCUCGAGUGGCGAACGGGUGAGUAACACGUGAGUAACCUGCCCUUGACUUUGGGAUAACUUCAGGAAACUGGGGCUAAUACCGGAUAGGAGCUCCUGCUGCAUGGUGGGGGUUGGAAAGUUUCGGCGGUUGGGGAUGAACUCGCGGCUUAUCAGCUUGUUGGUGGGGUAGUGGCUUACCAAGGCUUUGACGGGUAGCCGGCCUGAGAGGGUGACCGGCCCCAUUGGGACUGAGAUACGGCCCAGACUCCUACGGGGGGCAACAGUGGGGAAUAUUGCACAAUGGGCGGAAGCCUGAUGCAGCAACGCCGCGUGCGGGAUGACGGCCUUCGGGUUGUAAACCGCUUUCGCCUGUGACGAAGCGUGAGUGACGGUAAUGGGUAAAGAAGCACCGGCUAACUACGU
rnacentral:rRNA from 1 species